GGAAAGAUGGCUGAGUGGUCGAAAGCCUUGGUUUGCUAAAUCAAUACAUUGCUUUUUGCAGUGUCGUGGGUUCAAAUCCCAUUCUUUCCU
rnacentral:tRNA from 2 species